CAGUCAUAGUGCCGUCUGACUGAUGUUGUGCUUGUGCACUCAGCACCAGGCGUCGACUCACACAAGAUCGCGAUGAAACUUAUUCGAGGUGGAUUCGUUAAAUUUUUUCGAAAUCGCUUUCUGUUUUCCCUGCCAUUCGGGUAGCAGAAAGUUAAAUUAAUAGAAUAGGCUAAGCAUGUAGAACCGACGGUAGAGAAUUUGCGGACGCGGGUUCGAUUCCCGCCGCCUCCACCA
rnacentral:tmRNA from 1 species